UACAGAGGUGGCAAGCGUUGUUCGGAUUUAUUGGGUGUAAAGGGCAGGUAGGCGGUUACGCAAGUCUACGGUGAAAUCCCGGAGCUUAACUCCGGAACUGCCGCGGAAACUGCGUGGCUGGAGUAUCGGAGAGGUGAGGGGAAUUCUCGGUGUAAGGGUGAAAUCUGUAGAUAUCGAGAGGAAUACCGACGGCGAAGGCACCUCACUGGCCGAUUACUGACGCUGAGCUGCGAAAGCUGGGGGAG
rnacentral:rRNA from 1 species